CCUACGGGGGGCAGCAGUGAGGAAUAUUGGUCAAUGGACGAGAGUCUGAACCAGCCAAGUAGCGUGAAGGAUGACUGCCCUAUGGGUUGUAAACUUCUUUUAUAUAGGAAUAAAACGAGGCACGUAUACCUUUUUGCAUGUACUUUAUGAAUAAGGAUCGGCUAACUCCGUGCGAGCAGCCGCGGUAAUACGGAGGAUCCAAGCGUUAUCCGGAUUUAUUGGGUUUAAAGGGUGCGUAGGCUGGGAGGUAAGUCAGCUGUGAAAUGCUGCCGCUCAACGGGGUGAAUUGCCAUUGAUACUGGCAUGCUGGAAUGCGGAUGCGGUGGGAGGAAUGCGUGGUGUAGCGGUGAAAUGCUUAGAUAUCACACAGAACUCCGAUUGCGAAGGCAGCUCACGAAUCUGCGACUGACGCUGAUGCACGAAAGUGUGGGUAUCAAACAGGAUUAGAUACCCUUGUAGUC
rnacentral:rRNA from 1 species